rnacentral:tRNA from 1 species
GGUUGGCGAGAUGGCUCAGUGGGUCAGAGCACUGACUGCUCUUCUAAAGGUCCUGAAUUCAAAUCUCAGCAACCA